CUUCCUGCUGCAGUAAGAGAUGAACAUUCCCUUUGGAGAGACACACUAGGUCACUACAAAUGGGCCACUGAAGAACCUGGCACUGGCCGCUAUCACUGGCCCCAGCUGCAGUGCUGCUUGCUGUUCACAGAUUAAGACCCUGGGGCUUGGAGACAGCAAGUGACUGUCCCAAGAUCACUCAGCUGAUAAGUGAUGGAGCCAGGAUUCCAGCCUAGACUGUCUGACUGCAAGGGGCUUGAACUUUUCACCGUAACGCAGAUUGUGAAUUCCAUGAAAGCAGGGACUGUGCUUUCUGAGUCUCUAGCCAAGCACCUGCCACAUGGGCUGGAAGAAAAUGUGGAAGAUUCCUCUCUUGGUGCUGAAGGCUUGAGUGGAAUUUGCAGAAGCCCAUUCCGGGAGCUCUAACUAGCUCUUUGCUGGCAAAUUUCCUGGAAAUUUAACCAUCAGCUCUUGUGAACUGGGACUAGCCAGCCCUGGCGUACCACUGGUGAUUGCGGAAGGCCUUGCUGAGAAAGGGACAUCUGAACAGGAAACUGAAAGAGGCUGCAGUCAAUGGCGUGAUCUCCGCUCACUGCAGCCUUGACCUCCUGGGCUCAAGCAAUCCUACCACCUCAGCCCCUCAAGUAGCUAGGACUACAGGUG
rnacentral:lncRNA from 10 species